CACGGGGGGAGCAAGCGUUGUUCGGAAUCACUGGGCGUAAAGGGCGUGUAGGCGGUCAAGUAAGUGGGAUGUGAAAUCCCUCGGCUCACCCGAGGACCUGCAUCCCAAACUGCUUGGCUUGAGUAUGGGAGAGGAUGAGGGAAUUCCUGGUGUAGCGGUGAAAUGCGUAGAUAUCAGGAGGAGCACCGGUGGCGAAGGCGCUCAUCUGGCCCAAUACUGACGCUGAGGCGCGAAAGCUAGGGGAGCAAACGGG
rnacentral:rRNA from 1 species